rnacentral:tRNA from 1 species
CGGGGCGUGGCGCAGUUUGGUAGCGUGCUUGAAUGGGGUUCAAGAGGCCGGAGGUUCGAUUCCUCUCGCUCCGACCA